AAAAAAAGCUGGGGGAGCUGACAGGCUGAGAAAUUCCGCACCUAUAUAAAUAGAUUUUUUGUUGAUCGGAAUGACCCCUUGAACCUGUCCGGAUAAUUCCGACGUAGGAAAGCGGCUACGAAACAAA
rnacentral:ncRNA from 1 species